rnacentral:lncRNA from 1 species
GUGAGAGUGCUGUGUGUGAAAGUGCUGUGUGUGAUGGGUGUGAGAGUGCUGUGUGUGAGAGUGCUGUGUGUGAUGGGUGUGAGAGUGCUGUGUGUGAUGUGAGUGAGAGUGCUGUGUGUGAGAGUGCUGUGUGUGAUGUGAGUGAGAGUGCUGUGUGUGAGAGUGCUGUGUGUGAUGGGUGUGAGAGUGCUGUGUGUGAUGUGAGAGUGCUGUGUGUGAUGGGUGUGAGAGUGCUGUGUGUGAUGGGUGUGAGAGUGCUGUAUAAAUGUUAGAAUGGAUUGUGUGU